rnacentral:rRNA from 1 species
CGGCGUGCCUAACACAUGACAAGUCGUACGAGAAAGUUGGCUUCGGCCGAUGAGUACAGUGGCGCACGGGUGAGUAACGCGUGGAUAAUCUGCCCUUAAGUGUGGAAUAACGUACCGAAAGGUGCGCUAAUACCGCAUAAUGCCUGGCAACAUAAGUUGUCCGGCCAAAGAAGGCCUCUGCUUGCAAGCUUUCGCUAAAGGAUGAGUCCGCGUACCAUUAGCUAGUUGGUGGGGUAACGGCCUACCAAGGCGACGAUGGUUAGCUGGUCUGAGAGGAUGAUCAGCCACACUGGAACUGAGACACGGUCCAGACUCCUACGGGAGGCAGCAGUGAGGAAUAUUGCGCAAUGGGGGCAACCCUGACGCAGCAACGCCGCGUGAGUGAGGAAGGUUUUCGGACUGUAAAGCUCUGUCGAGCGGGAAGAAGUGUACCAUGGCUAAUAUCCAUGAUAUUUGACGGUACCGCUAGAGGAAGCACCGGCUAACUCCGUG